GAUAUACUUUUAUUAGAA
rnacentral:tRNA from 4 species